rnacentral:siRNA from 1 species
GCCAAGUUGGACGGUCCA